rnacentral:rRNA from 1 species
UGCCCCUGGUGGAUGCCUAAUACAUGCAAGUCGAACGAGAAAGCACCUCGGUGUGAGUACAGUGGCGCACGGGUGAGUAACGCGUAGAUGACGUGCCUAUUAGUGGGGGACAACAUCGGGAAACCGGUGCUAAUACCGCAUAUUCAAGACGACAUUGAAAAAGUUUUGCAAAGGGGCUUCGGUCCCGCUAGUAGAUCGGUCUGCGUGACAUUAGCUUGUUGGUGGGGUAAUGGCCUACCAAGGCGACGAUGUCUAGCUGGUCUGAGAGGAUGAUCAGUCACACUGGAACUGAGACACGGUCCAGACUCCUACGGGAGGCAGCAGUAGGGAAUAUUGCGCAAUGGGGGAAACCCUGACGCAGCAAUGCCACGUGAGUGAGGAAGGCUCUAGGGUCGUAAAGCUCUGUCCUAUAGGAAGAACGGCUUUGGGUAACGCCAAAGUUUGACGGUACUAUAGAAGAAAGCACCGGCUAACUCCGCGCCAGCAGCCGCGGUAAUACGGAGGGUGCGAGCGUUGUUCGGAUUUACUGGGCGUAAAGCGCGCGCAGGCGGAUUAGCAAGUCAGAUGUGAAAUCUCGGGGCUCAACCCCGAAACUGCGUCUGAAACUGUUAGUCUAGAAUCUCAUAGGGGGUAGGGGAAUUUCACGUGUAGGGGUAAAAUCCGUAGAGAUGUGAAGGAACACCUGAGGCGAAGGCGCCUGCCUGGAUGAGUAUUGACGCUGAGGCGCGAAAGCGUGGGGAGCAAACAGGAUUAGAUACCCUGGUAGUCCACGCCGUAAACGAUGAGUACUAGUUAUUGGAGGUAUUGACUCCCUUCAGUGACGUAGCUAACGCAUUAAGGUACUCCGCCUGGGAAGUACGGUCGCAAGGACUAAAACUCAAUGAUUGACGG